CGGCGUUUACACGCGUUUCGCGCGUUUGUUUCGACGAUCUCCGGGGCGACGACCGACCGUCGGCACCGCGGACACGAGUUCCAUUUUCCCUGUGCACACGUAUACCACUCGCCGUCGUUGCACAGUCGGCCUACAACACGUCUCGCCAAUAACGACCGAAUGAUAAAUCGACUAAUAUUUUUCCCGGAGGACUUGUUGUCGUCGUACUUGUCACAUAUAGCGAUGCGCCAGCCGGCCGAAUAUUAUUCCGUUCGUGGUUGAUUCGCGACGACGACGAUGACUUUGCUCGACGAAGAAUUUCCGGUCACGAUGCGAUUAUCGCCACACAUCGAUAUAAUAUAAUACAUAUGUAUGUAUAUUAUUUAUUCCUAAGUGUAUUCCGCGAAGAGUUAACCGUAUUUCUUUUUCCGGACAGUCCGUUCAAAAUGGAUACGACAUUCGAAUACGUAUGUAUAACAUAAAACCCCGGACCCAAUUAUUAUAAUCUCGAGCCGAUCGAUUUUUUUUCCCGCGUACAAUAAAGGAUCCCUAUAGUAGCGUAGAGUAAAUUCGAUUUUAGAUGUUUUCAUUUUAUAAACUACUUUACAUUGUUGGUUAUUUUUCCGUUAUCUCGAUUACCGAUCUGAUGCCGCGACCACCGGUGACCGCCGUGACCACAUUCCGUUAUUUCGGCUAUCUAACGCAGCAUCGAUAAAUAAAGUCUACCGUAUGUACAGUUUUCAUAUAAUUUUAAUAUUUCAAUUUUAUAAUUUCAUAAUUUCACCGGUUUUUGAAUUCACGGUGUUUUGGGAGCAAAGAUUUUUUUUAAAAUAAUUCAAGAGCACCGAACUUUCACUGCCGUGUAAAUUCCAGAGUUUCGUAGUUUUAACUAAUAGCAAAUAAUAACUAGAAUAAUAAAGAUAAUUUUGAAUGUCAGUUAACAAAAUAUCAACUCUGAUAACCUAAAAAUUAGCUGACACGAUUAUUAAACGACGGAAUAUCCGGUAAUUAGACGGUAGUCAUUAUAACUGAAAGGUUAUAUCAUUAUAAUUAAUCACUAUACUAUAAUCGUUUAAUCGAAAAUCGUUUUACUUAUGAUUUAAAUUCGUCCGGUUAGUGGUUAUUCAAUCAAAAUCAUGACCAAUGAACUAAAAUUCAAGACAAAUUAAGUGCCAACGCUCCAACUGAAAAAAUUCAAAAAAAGUCACAUUUAGCAAAAAUGAGUCCCUAUUUUCCCAUCCACUAAUUACGAUUCCAGUUUCAUAUAAGCAUAGCUGAUCUCAUUCCCUUAGCUUCUUAAAGAUCUUAUCUUCUUUAAUGUCUGAUUAUGUGAAUUUAUUAUCUAAUGUCUGAGCUGUGGUUAUUUUAACAGUUAUUUUCGAGUGUCAGUUUACAAGUCGUUAGGGAACAUUACUUAUACUAAAGGUCGUUAGACAAUCUUUCUAUUAUCUUAAAUCUUUAUCUUAUUUACAUAAUAUAUUCAAAAUAUUUUCCUGCUAUCACAACAUUAAAACGCAUAUUAUCGACAAAUGCAUUAAAAUAAUAAUUCGACAGUAUAAUUCAUUCGGAAUUUUCAUCGUGGACUAAUCACCCCAUAAAUGUAACCGGGUUUACUAAAUAUUAAUUUUUUUUUUCGUAAUAAAUCUCAAUUGCAUACUAUUUUUAUACAAUUGAAUAGUGUAAUUAAUACGUCUCGAGAAACACUAAGAAAAUUGCAUUUAAUAAUAAUAGGUACCUCGGUAUGUUAACAGUAGUUGGGUGUUACUUUCCGAGAUAUUUAAGUGCGUCUUUUAAACACACUCGCAGAUAUUGAAAUUUCGAAAUAUUUAAUCGGAUUUUUUUCUCUAUAUAACAAUAACAUUAAAAUACACCCGUGAGCAGUAGAACUCUGUCAUUAAAAUCGAAUUUCCCUAUACAUGUUUUGUAUUACGGACAUAUCGUUUAUAAAACAAUAAAUAAAUAAUACAUGAAUAAUACAAUUCUAAAAAAAAAACUUAUUAUAAUAAUAUACAACAAACUAUAAUACUUCCAAAAAAAAAAAAAAAGUUAGAAUUCGAACGUAAAAAUAAUCGGCGUGUAGGGAUUGAAAAUUUUAAAUGCCCGAAAAGGUGGUUCUAACACGCUGUGUCUCGUCGGGGGAAAAGUGUCGCAUAAAGGGAAUUUCCAAACAACAUCAAGGAAAUAUAUCAUGGAUUUCGCACCCGUGUCUGAAACAUAAUCCAGAUGGAAACAAAAAAUGUAACUAUAACCGUACACGAACGAAUAUAAUAAAUUACAGAUAAUUAUAAUAAAUUGUACAAUUGGCUAUAUAUAUCUAUACCAAUAAUACUACACUGUGUUCGCUGCCGAAAAACUUUUAAUGGAUUUAAUGCCUACCUAAGUACGCUAGGUACCUACCUAGCGCUACCCCCGGAAUUAAAUAUAACAACACGUCACAAUUCCUGUGUAAAGUACACCGGUUAGGUUAGGUACACAAAUACCGCGUACCGUAUAUACCUCGGUAAGUGUAAAGUUUGCUCGGGGAUUAACCUUCUGUCGUAUAAACUCCAGGAGAUAGUAUAAAGGACAUUUUAAAUUCAAUACGGUAUCUAGCUACCGGCCAAAAAUAAAAUCCUAUUUAGCUGCGCUGACGACAAGUGUAAUAUAAUAGUUAUAGCGGUGUUUCCGGCUUUAACGAAUUAACGAAACACUGACGUUUCUAUUGGCAGUAAUAAUUACUCGUAAAUUAGGAUAUAAACCGUUUAGAAUAGAGAGUUUUAUGUUCAACGAAAUUAUAACUUCUCCCUUCCCUCCAGUCUUUUCAAACGUUCUUCAAAACCUCGUUUUUAGCGUAUAUUACGUAAAUUGUUGGCAGAUGUCGGUCCAUCCGUAAUUUAUAACAAGAACAGAUAUUUAUAUAUCUUGAAAACCAUUAAAUAUAUGUGCAUUUAAAAUGCUUAAAUAUCCCCUUAAAAUAUGGUAAAAAUCAAAGAAACAAAACCAAAAACUGACGAAUUUUUAAAAAUCAUGUUUUAAAUGUAAACAUCUCGUGUAAAAUUUUAUGCCGUGGAAAUUUAAGUAUGCCAAAUUACAAAAAAUAAAAAAAUUUUUUAUAGAAUCGUUAAAGAUAUUUUUGUCUUUGUCUUUUUCACUAUCAUUUUUUUUUUGUAUUUUAGAUAUUAUUAAUAAUAACUAACUAUUUUUUUGACCAACUAUUAAAAAUAUGGCUAAUCAUAUACAUUUUUGGUAUAUUUUAUAUUUAUUACUUUUCUCAGGUCCAAAAAUGACUCAGCGUAUAAACUGCGGACUAAUUUCAAAAAUACUUUAUACCAAUAACGUGGAAAAAACUAUUUCAAUUCCUGUACGGGUGCACUCACAUUUCAAAUUUGGAAAAUAUUCUGAUUUACUAAGAUUUUUUUAUAGUUAUUCAUUUUUAUUUUAUGCUUUAUUUACGUUAUAUACCUGAUUCAGAGUGAAUCCAUCAUUAAAAAAUCAACCUGUGUAACGAAAAUCGGUAAGAGAUGCUCGCAGUCCUUAUUUGUACAUGUUUAGAGUUUUAAAACCAUAUUCACGCAAAACAGAAAGACUUGUUUAAAAGUUUCUAAAGAUAAAACGUCUUAUAUAAUAUAAAUACAGAGAACAGUUCAAAGGGAAUCUCGCCAUAUGCGUUUUUUAAAAUAUUAACCCGAUUUAUAUAUGGGUAUAUGAAUUUAAAAAUGUUUCAUCAGAGAUAUUGUUUUUUAUUAUUAAAAUAAAAAAGAAAAAAUUGUGUCCAAAAUAAUUUUAAGAAUACUGCUUAUAUCAAUGUUAUUAUAGUCAUUGAAAGUGUGUUUGACUACUAUUAUUUUUUCAAAAAUUUCAAUACUUACAUACAAAUAUCCGAUUUGCAACCUAUUAAGAUUAUCUGGUGUUAGAUAGUUAUAUUUCCAUAAUAUAUAAAAUUAGCUAUACGAACUACAAAAGUGUAUUGUACUCGUAUUAAAUUCACAUAAUUACGUUUCAUAAUAUUAUUCAAUGCACACGUCAUCCGAGUUAAUGCGUCGUAAUUUAACCGCCAUCUUACUCUUUGACUUUGCGUUAAAAACAAUGGUCGUGUAUCAUAUGUGUGUGUUUUCGUAUAUUGUCACGAAUUAUUCUACUCGUGCUUUUAUAAUUUUGUAAUAAGUCAUGUCAGUGAAUAUAAAGUCCCUAAACCCUUAAAACCGAACUACGAAACUACAAGUCGUGUAUCAAUAUGAUUUUAACAUAACCCAACGUACGCCGGUGUCGUUUGGGAAUCCGACAUUCAACGGCAAAAAGCUGGAAUCCAUCCAAAAUUACAUUAAAACCAACGCCACCAUUCGUAUCCUAUCUUAUCAACUUCCUUCAACCCAAAUCUUUUCAAGACACUUCAUAAUCAAAACGGCACUAAAUGCCUAUUCGACGGAACUCCGAAAUCCUCAUUUCAACCACACUUAGAUCAUUAAUAAAAAAAAAACUCCAGCCAUUUAGAGUGGUCGAUAUUACGAGUUCAUCGCAUUCCUGAAAUCCACUCCAAUCAUACCCAUUCAAUUUCCAUAAGCGUUACACCUAAAAUGAGUAUACAGUCCUUAUUUAUGAUCGUCCGUUUCACAAAAACAAAAAAUAAUCGUUAUUUUUAUAAUAUGCAGUAUUGUAUGAACAUAAAUGUUAAACUAUUCAGAUAAAGAUAAGUGAUUAUUGCCGAAAUAGUUAUCGUUCACAUUGAUUUUAUAAUAUCAAAAAAUAAGGAUAUUUUAAUUAAAUCUGUACGUAUUUUAUCUACAUUAUAUUAUUGUAUUCAAAUUGUUCGUGUUGUACUUGUACUGAAUUAUAAAGUUUAAAAAAUAAGUAACAAUUUAGUUAUCUAAAUAAAGAUAAAUACCUUAUUUGAACUUUUAAAGUUGAUCAUACAUUUUUUGUUAAUAGCCUACCGUAAGACUAAAUGCUACAAAUUGCCAAUGCAUCUCAGAUUUGGUACACGUAUAGAUUUCAAACGGUUUGUGAAAUUUGCGUAAUUUUUAUUAAUUUAUUACUCCGUAUAACUAAACCUGCUAUGAUAUAUUGACCUUUUUUUUUUUAAAAAAAAUUCAUUUUAUACAUAAAAUAAUAUUAUAUACUUAUAUAGUUAUUUAUAACAGUUACACAAUAUUUACCUAAAAUAUGGAUUAUAGAUGAAUCAAUUAUUUGUUUCAGAUAUAAAAAUUAUUUUUUUUUAAUUAUUUAUUAUUCAAAUAAGAUAAAAAUUAAUACAUUUUUAUCUAGAUAAAACAACACUGGUUAUAUUAUAAUAAAGUAAUUAUUAUGUAUGCGGUAUUAUUUGUUAAACUCGGUACAAUUAAAACAAAUUUAAGAUAAAUAAUAACAACAUCACGCUUAAAAUCGCUUUAUAUUAAUAAUUAAAACGUUUAAUUAUUCAAAUUGAAAAGGAAUUUUCGAUUCAGUAGGUAGAUAUAAUAAAAUAAUAUCCAAAUAUUAAAUAAAAAUUAAUUCAAAGUGAUAUUAUUAUAUUUUAAUAAAACUGCAACAGUACAUGUAGAGUUUUUUGCGCUGUUAUUCAUUUUUGUUAUUUAAAUAAUCGCAUAACAGUGCUAAAAUUUAAUUAUUCGUUUUUCAGUUUCCUUCCGUAAAAACGUUUUAUUAUUAUACAUUUUUAAUUUUCAUUAACAUAUUUUUUUAGAGAUCUCAUAUUGUUUUACAUUAUCUUGUUUUAUAGUAUUGUACAUUUAUUAAAUUUAAUUAUUUAUUUUUUUUUAUCUAAUUUUCCAUUAAAAAAUAAGACUAUGUUGUACGUUUUUGUGCUUGUCCUUAUUCCAGUGCUUGUGGACACUUGUACUAGCUACCUCUGAACCAAAUUACCUCAAACUCGGGAAUCGGUGUUUUAAUUAUACGUGGCCUGGAGUAAUUACAUUUUGUGAAAUAUCUCGUCAGGAUUAACGGAAAUGUUCGACCCUAAAUGUAUUUGAACGGAGACUUUAUCUAUUCAUGUAAAUUGGUACGUAAGGUCUAAAUCGAAUUUGAAAAUGUUUAAGUUUUGAAAACUAAAAUAGGGUGGAUUUACAUAAAAAAAAAAAAAAACAAAAACAGUAAAAUUCUUGAAUAUUUAAUUCCGUAAUGAUUUUAUUUUAAAUCGUUUUUCUAAAACAAUAAUUUCAUAGACAAUAUGUUACGUGAAAUUUAGAACACUCCGUAUAUAUUAACUAUAAAUUAUUAAACAGACUCAAUACGUCGAAAAUAUGACAGCGGAUAAUAUCGAAUAAAACGUUUAAACACCGCGAGCGUUUAAGAAUUCAAAACUUAUAAUACAAACGUCCACAAUAUUAGUGAAAUAUUGUAAUAAUGUCCUUUGGCUGUCACGCCAUGUCGAGAGCCGUUGAUUAUUAAAAGGUUAUACAUACUUAUACGUGGAUUUCAACUUUUUUUUUGUUUGUCGUUUAUCCCGGCGUGAACACCAACAGUGCUUUAUUAUGCGCUCGAUUUCGUAUACACUGAUAUUAUAAAGGUGCGUACAAGUCGUGUAAAUUGUUUACUCCGCAGAACAUUUCAUUCCGACAAACAAAGUGUAAUUGUAUUAAUUUAAUUGUGUAUUAUUCGAAAUGUCUAACCGUUAGGAAUAAUGUACACGCCGGGUUUGCGUCUAUCUAUCUACAUUUAUAUUACCUCGGUCGUUUGGAACUCGUGAUUUCCACAUCAAAUGAUUUUCCGCGUUAUCGUCGCGUUUCGCGCGCCAAGACAUUAUAUUGCAUCAUUUUAUUAUGUAUACUUAAUGUUCAAAUGAUUUACGAUAAUUAUGUAAAACUGAACAUAUUAUAUCAAAUAGAAAAUUCGAUUAAAAAAAAAAAAAAAAAAAAAAAAAAAAUCUAAAAGAAAAGCCGCCUUACAGUCGAUGAUUUUGUUAACACGAACGCAGAGUGUGUGAUUAACGGAGUUUAGGAUAAAAAAAAUCCGCGUAAAAAAAUUUAAAGUGAUCGGACGAAAACUAUAAUGUCUAUAUAGUUACGGUAAGUAGUCAAAUGACUUUAUUCAGUACGCUACGCAGUAAAAGCUUAAUGAAAUAUUGUUGAAACAAGGUACAUUUGGAGAACCGUCGGAAAAAUAAUUUCCGUCUAUAAAAUCAACAAAAAAUGUUCACUGCUUCUAAUCAGUCAAAAUCAUACUAAUUUUAUUGGCAAACAUGCUGAGAAACCCGGAAUACGACGAAACAACUAAUUUUUAACUCCUAUGUCGAAUUAUUGAAAUUUAAAAUAUUAGAAGAACGUAAUUCUGUAGUUUAAAAAGAAUUACUAUAUUUUGUUCCAUCUUACAUCGAACUUAUGUGUAGUCAUGAGUUGAGACGAGACAAAAAAACAAUUUCUAAUUUUUGUUUUAAAAUAUUUUUUUCAAAUAUCGUCAUAUCCCACACGAUUUGUCCCGAAAUGCACCUAAAAUACUAAUAAUGUACCUAACACUAAUUUAUUUUUCAUUAUACGUACUAACAAUUUAGUACCUAUACUAAAAAAUAUCUUCUUCCACGAUAUCCUUUAAACUUUUUCUAGGCCGACCCCGAGUUCUCUUGUUCAUUUGGUUGUCACUGCUUUGUAAUGCGUGCUCACCACUUUGAAUCACGUGCUCGAGAGAUUAUUGAUUCUUAGGAUUCUUUGUCGCAUAAAUAUCAUGCUGAUGGCAUACACAAUUUUCCUUGCGAGUUUAUUGUUAAAUUACCUCUUUCACGUUCUUUUUGUACGACCGUGAAUUGGUACACAUAUUAUAUAUUCUGUAUCGAAUCAUUAAUAGCCUAAGUCUAUACUGCACAUGUUUAUUAUGUAAGCAUCGGCCUUAUUACCGUCACGUAAAUUCUAACUUUUGUUUUAUUUGAACAUAAUUAAUAUUGUAGGAGUACAUACUACAAAAUCUGAAACAAAUUAAAAUAAUUCAUUUCUCGUUGAUUUCAAAGUCUACUACGUUAUAUGUUAUUCGUCUUAUAUAUUGACACCAAAAGAAAAUUAUAAUAAUUUUGAUAGAGGAUCAUUUAUUUGAAUAGAAAUUGGUAAAAAUAAAAUAGGCUUAUUUUUUUAUUAUUAUUUAUUUAUUAUUUAUUAUAUUAUUUAUAUUAUUUAACUUGAUAACUUAUUUAAUAAAUGAUUUGUUUUUUUAUUGAUAAUUUUUAAUAUUUGUCCAGGUCAUCGACGUCAUAUCACUACUCUGAAAAUAAUUAAACGUGAAGUAUAUCAUUACAUAUCAGUUCAAAAAAUAUGUGAGUAGUAUUUUGUUUUGUUCCUCUAAUUAUGACACCAUGACUAAAUUCGUUUUUUUUUUUUUUUUAGUCUGUAAAAAUAAUUGUAAACAAAAUAGGCACUCGUAAUCCCAAUUGUUUACAUAAGCUAUACACCUGUAAAAGCUAAAACGCUUAAGAUUUUUUUGUUAUGUUGACAAUUUAAAGUAUUUUUUAUUUUUUUUUCGUAUUAGAGUGUUUAUCAAACACCAGAAAUAAAUUACUCUCAACUUAAAUAAGAGUAAGAGUUUAAUAAAUUAGAUGGUCUUUAGUUGUUUUUAAUUAAAGAAAACGUACUAAUACUUUCUACAACUAAAAAAUUCUCCUACCAUGAUUUUUUUAUUUGUUUUGUAUUUAUAAAAUUGGAUCUCGUUAUACUGAUGGAUACAAAUGCCAACGAAUUGGUGAACUUGGUGCGUAAUAUUUUAUUUUUUCCUUCGGAAUUAUUUUUAUAGCUGUGAUAAUACCCAUCGCACUACGGAGAUUUAUAAAUUGUUACGUUUUUAAUAUUAAAUUCAUUUAUUAUUUUUAAAGGUAAAUCGUUUUAUUUCUUUUCGAUGUAUUAUGGAAUUUUUAUAAAUUUAUUAAAUUUUUUGAGAGGAUCGAAACAAUAUAAUACGUUGAUUGAUAUUUAAAUUAAAAUAUUAUUCUUCUUUAUAGCUACUAUUCGUGCGGAAAAUAUCACAGACAUCACUUAGUUACAGUCUGAAAUUCGCUGUUAUCGAAUAAUAUUAUAUUUCGCUUAGGUACCCGUUGGUCUUUUUGUAAAUUCAUAUUGACCAAAUAAUGAAUUUAAUACUAACUAUUGUGUUGUACUAGACUGUAAAAUCUAGUACAAUAAAGUAUAAACGCGUGUCGGAUACGAUCGUGUAAUUUUACGAACAAAACAGCCGGCGUAGCAUCGUAUCGGUAAAACGGCGGCACGUACUGUUUAUUAUAAAAUUUCAAAAUCAAUUACCUACCCAUUUUAUCAAUAAGAAAUUACAAUUAACAAAGCUAAAGUGCACUUACUACUUUGAAUAUCAAUGGACGAAUGUAAACGAUAUAUAUAAUUGAAUCGACUAUCUGUGAGAUAAAGAUAAAUAAUCUGCAACUUACAUUGUUAAAAAAAAAAAAAAAUAUUUUUUUUUUUUUUUAUGUAUUAAAAAAUGUAAUUCCUAAAAGUAUCGCAUUUAGAUUUAAAAAUGUCUGUUUGAUCAUUGUAAAUUUAAAAUUUAGCUAUAAUAAUAAUAUAUAAAAUAUUUUUGAUUCUAAUUAGAAUACAUUCGCUUAUAUUGCAGCGAUGCGUAUCUCAGUUUUUGUAAUUGAACAAGAUGAUCGAAAAAUUGUUUUUUGAAACCAUCUCUAAGACAAGUAUGAAUCGCUGAGAUACGUUACGCUGAUACGAAGUUUUGAUAUAACUGGUGUUUUCAGUUUCGUUAUUUGCAGUGUAACCACGGGUCUUAUAAGAAAAAAUAAAAAAUUGUAUAAGAAACUAUUCCUCCGGAAACACUUGUUUUAUUAUUAUCGAUGACAAAAAACAGCGAAUAGUUUAAAAAUGACACUUGACCGGUUAUUGUAUACCAGCUGUGAAUUAUGAUUCUUUGUAACCUAUUAUUAAAUGGUUGUUUACCGAAUUUCUUAGUUUCAAAAACUCAAGGUUAUCCGUUUAUUGAACACAAAAGAAUAUGGAGUAUCUAUACCCUGAUAAUAAUCGAAUUUUAUUAAAUGUUUAGAUAUUUGCAAGAUAUUGUAGUUGUCUACGAUGAUAUCAAUUCUGGUUAAAAAAAGUUUAAUUAAGUUGUCCACUUUUUUGGAUUAGAUAAAAAACAAAUGUAAUUUAAUCGUGUAAAUAAAAUGCAACAUCGAUUUCGAGUGUUAGAGUAAGAAGUUCUUUUAAAAACGUAUGAAUAAAUAAUGUAAUUUAAUAAUUUGAAGAAUUAGAUUAUGAAAUAAAUACUAUAAGUCUGUAUAAUUAACUUAUAAUUAUUUUAUUGUUAUUUUAUGUAACAACAAAUUUUUUUAAAUUUUUUCCUUUUUUAACAUAAAUGUAUCAGAAAAUUAUAGAUCCAUAUACAAUGCAUAUUAUUAUAUACUCUGUAUUAAGUACCACGAACCCCUAUUUUUAAAUUUACACUAUCCAUAUUAAAUCUUUUUAGUAAUUUAUCGAUGAUAUCUAAAUACAUUGUGUAUUUAAAUUGAACAAUACUUGAACGAUAUAAUAUAUUAUUAAUAUUUUUAACCCUUCAGUAACGGAUUAAUUUAUUAUUCGAAAUAAAUUCGGUCCAGCGUGUAAUACGGGUGCCCCGAACCCUCCCCGGAUAUUAUACGAAUUAUAUCCCCGAUGCUAUUAUAUAAAUUAUUUUAUAAUAUUAUUAUAACAUAAGAUUAUUAUAAUAUAAUAAUAUUAUAAACACGGAAAUGCAUAAAAUUUCGGUUUCUAUAAUUAUGAUUAAUGCAUAUAACGGCAUUAUAAUAUUUUACACGUCUAUGACGUCACGGCCAUUUAUCAAUGUUUUAUGUAUAUCGCUCGUGUAUACCACGGUGUUCAAUAAUUUAAAAUAAAAUCCAUUAGGCCGUUCGGUGUAUGGUUAUGUUGGUAUAAUAAACCCUUUAAUGUUGCGCUUAAUAUUUUAUUUCUAUACUAUAUAUUAUAGUGGCAGAGGCGCGCACCGGUUAAGAAGCGAUUAUCUUAAAUCCGCGGACCCUCCGGAAUGGACUGGAGUGACCGCGUACACAACGGUUCAGGUAGGUAGGCAUUAAAAAACUUACCGCGUAACGGAGGCAAAAAAGAAAUCGGAAAAUUUUAAGCCUUAUUAGUAACUUUACUACAACUAGAGUACAGAGCGUGCAAAUUAUUAUAUUCGAUCCAUCUUCUGUCUGCUGGAUGGGUUUCGAAUAACCAUUGGGCACCGGAAUUCUAUAUGAUAGUGUACUAUCUGACUACACUCACCUGCACAGCUUUUACAUUUUUUUCCUUGGUGACUAUCACCUGCCAUCAUAUGCAGUGCACUGUACGACGAAAAUUCCAUAUGUAGUAGCGAUGUAGUUUUGUCUGCACGUGUGUAAACAAAUGAAACUGACACUGUCGUUGUUCGCAAUCACUUGACGUUGUAAAUUAUAUUUGAUCACUCUUGUGUUCUGGUAUAAUCACACCAUGGUAUUAUUUUAUGGGAAAGCGUUUGUGACUUGUAUUAUUACUGACCACGUGUGUUCUUUGUGUACGCAGUCAGUCAGAUGACAAAAAUGUUUAAAUUAUUAGUCUUCCUGCAAUGUAUUAACUAUGCGCACCGUAUAUGGUUAAAAAAAAAAAUAUUAUAAAACAUAAUAUUUUACAUUGCUUACUGUAUACACUGUUCCCCGGCGUAAGACUUGGAAUUGGCGUUCGAUAAAAUUAUAAUCAUAGUUUACAGAAAUAUAUUGUAUUCAAUGAGAGGAGAUCACAAAAAAAAAAAAAAAAUACAAAAAAAUGAAAUUUGUAUCGAAUAAAUUGUAAAGAGGAACAAGGCGGAGCGAAAGAAUUUAAAGUUAAAACACUUGUCCCUCUUGGCAUCGUCUAACGGCAUUUCUGACAGAAGACUUAUCUAUGUUGUUUUCGAUGGAACUUCAUUAUGUCAGUGCUUCAAUCGGAAAUCUAUAUUUACAUAGUAUACAAUAUAUAAACUUAUAACUAAAACGGAGCUCGUUCAAGUGAAUGCAAUUUCAAUAAAUAAUCUCUUUGUAAUUCGUUACAGUAUUUUGCUUUUGUAUUUUUGUUUUUGUUUUUGUUUAAUGAAGAACACGAAUGUCAACAAUUAUGAACUAAAUGGUUUUUAUUUUUCAAUAAUAAUUAUGUUGCCACGAUUUUCUGGCCGUUUUCCAAAUUCACGCGCGAGCGCGACAAAGUUUCGAAAGUCAUUCAGACCCCACUGCACGCCGGUCUGUAUAUUAUUAUUUUAUUAUGUAUACGGAUGAUUUUCGUUUAAAUUAUGCGGGAACACCGGUGAACUUUCGAGAACCAUUUUUCUGAAUGUUCUAAGUUGUAUACAAACAAAAAAGUAUACGGGCAUAAAUCUUAUUUGAAAAGCGUUAUAGCAGCGUAUAAUAUAAAGCCCACAGUUACUAGCUGGUAAUGAUUUUAUUUUAUCAAAAUUAUAAUACUUCGGUAUAACUAUAGUGCAAUUGAAAAUUUCUCGUGUUUACGCGUGUACAAUAGAAGCCUCAAAAAUACCGAAUCGAAUUUUAUUCUAUUCAUUCGAUGGUUUAUUACUGACGCGAAAUACGAAUAAAAUAACAUAAUAAUAUUGGCUGGCGAUGUUUUCAUUGAAGUGUAAUUUCACACGUAUAUUAGAACAAAACGAGAGAACGCAUUUAAAAUAUAUAAAAUUUAAAAAUCGACGAAAGUAUAAAGGUUUUUGUACAAUUCAAUAAUACGAUUGAUGCUAUUUGGAUAAAAUAAAACAUAAAUUGAUUUGUUAGAAUCACGCUGUGCAAUUGUACUCGGUAAUAGUAUAUGGACAUGAAACUAAAAACAAUAAUCCUUUGACAUUAAAAUGGUUAAAUGAAAUUAUACAGCUGAGAUCCGUGGACAGCAAUCAUUACAAUCAAGAAAGUAAUGGCAUUUUGAAAUGUGUAGUUGUAAAAUGCCUGAUAUUUCGCCGUGUGACGAAUAAGUAUCAAAUAAAGAAGUUUACAGAAGAUUAAGGAAAAAUGACAAAUUUGCGAAAUCAUAGAAAGGAUAAUAUUAUAUGAUGACUAAGCGACACCACGAUGAUUAAUCGCAGACAACCAUUGAAGCUUAUGCAAUGAGGUCAAAUCGGUAAAAAAAACAAUAAAGAUGAAAUAUCUACCACAACUUCUCAAGGAUACGGGAACGAAUCGAUGCUAUCGAAAGUUGAAGCCGAUUCUUGUACAGAGAAGCUGCACGGAGAACUGUAGGUAAUUCGAAAGAUUGAGGGUCAAAAGAAGAAAAAAUCCUAGAAUAAUGGGGACAAAUGCAGCCACUGUUAUAGAUAAUUUAAUGUAUACCCGUAAGCAUCAAUAAACCAUUGCUUAAGAAAAACCGAUUCUGAGCAGAGUUAAGUUGAUAUUGAUGCAUUGUCAACAAUAUAUAUAUAUAUAUCAUUUCAUAGUAAAAUAAUUAGAUAGGCUUUAUUUAUUUGCUUUAAUAAUAUAUAUUUAUUGAUGUACCGAUUUUCCCAGUUUUCCUAUGUUUUUCAAGGUUUUCCCAUAUUUUAUACCGGUUUUUCACAUUUGCUGAGAAAAGUGUUGAAAAAUAUAUCUACAAAUGACCUUUCUAAAGUACCUCCCCAAUCGGAUUUCCUUUUAGAAACAUUGCUAUCAUAAUAAAUUAUAGCGAAAUUGUUGGUAGAAUAGUUGUUUACAGAAAAAAAGAACGCCGUAAUAUAUUUUAAAUAAUACCUACAUUUCCUAUAUUUUUCCGAUUUUUCAAAUUUGAUGAGAAAACCCCUGAGAUAAUCAAAUAGUGACAUAUCUUUGUAAAACCAUAAGCUUCAUCGUUCUACUCAGAAUCUAAAAUUAUAUGUUUUUGAAUAUGGAGACAAAAAUGUUUGAAUAAUUUUGAAUUGAGUGAACAAAUUAUUCAAAUUAUUCGAAAACAGUAGACACGACGACGUAACGUAACCGGAAAACGCACUUAUAGACCCUAUUCGAAUUCGGUCUAAAAUGAAUCGUAACCCAAGUGGUUUUUUUAGACUAUACAAAACUAAAUAUAACUAUUACUCUAAUUUUGAUACUGCUGCAAAGAAGUGAGUUUCUAAAGCGUAAUCAUAAAACUUACUAACUAUUUGAUGAAUAGCUACCAUCAGUCGAGAUAAAGUAAUAGGGAAAUGGAUAAACCUAACAUACUUGGUGGCUUAAAACUGAUAUAAUUACAAAGAAAUUAGUGUCCUUGGUAUAAAAUCUAAAAAAUUAUGUACAAACUACGUCGGUAUACACACAGUACGAGUUUAAAUCGCAUAGGGUCCGUGAAUACGCUGCCGAGUGUGUUUUAAUAUUUCUCGAUAGCACAGCGCUCGGAGUAGGCAAUUCAGCUACAGUAGCGCUAUGCGGAACAGUACUAAUCGUUCAUUCGGAAUGUACAAUGCAUAAAUCACAUUGCAAGAUUUUAAUAAUUAAUAAUAAUCAAUUAUUGCAAUUGCAUCGCUACAACUUUAAUCUGACACGUAUUGUGCAAUAUUAUUAUUAUUGAUAUAAACUACAUAUACGUAUACGCAAAGGCGGACGACAGACGUUGACUUACGUGUCUGUUCAAACAAUGUAGAAUUUCCCGUGAACACAACAAUAAUGUCAUGGAACAUAAUAUUAUAACCGUGCAUUAUAAAAACUGUGACGUUUCUCAAAAGACAGUGAUCAAUAAUAUAUUUGACAAUGUUAUCGUAUGAGUAUUAGAAUGUACUAUUAUUUUCGCGAUGUGGAAUAACAUAAAUUCGGCUUCGUUUCCAGCACUUCCGCAAUCGAAUUUCAAUACUUAAACAACAUAGUGUACUUCGUUUUUUUUUCUUUUUUCGAAAAACUCCGUGAAAAAAUGUUUGUUCUAUUUUUUUCCCAGGUGUAUUGUUUUAAAGAUCUGAUUGGCACGCUUUCGAUUGUGCUUUUACGAAGUUGUACAAAAACACAAAAAAAUGCAUAGUAUUGCCAAAGUUUGGUAUAAAAUAUUCCAAAGGCAGUGUUAGGGAAGCGGAACUCCUAAAUUUUGUUCGUUAGUUAAUUUAUAAUAAAUGUCUUCCUUUAAACAUAUGAUACACAUCAUAUGGAAAAAAUCCACACAUUUUAAGGUACUUUGUAAAGAUAACAAGUUUUUGAUUAAAAAAAAAAAGCUAUUACAAAUUAAAAAUUAUAGCUAUUUUGCUACACGUUGUAAAAUCUAAAAAUCUAAAAUCUGUAAAAAAAAAAAAAAAAAAUGCAAAUAAAAAUAAAUAAGAAUACGUUAUUACAAUAUGUUAUAUUUUUGAAAUAUUGAAGUUCGAAAGAUUACAAAAUAUUUUAUAAUACAGAGUUUCAAAGUUAUUUUACAGACCCCGAAUAUCGUUACAUCAGUGAAUGGCUCCGCCGGGAGAUAAUAUCCGUAAAACCAAGAUUCCAAGAUUAAAGCACACUCGGGGUGACUACCGUAAAAAAUAAAUAAUGGAAUUUAUAAUUUCAGUUUAUACAGUUCCGUAUAUGCACUCCAGAUCGAUAAAUAAUCUUAUCUUACGCAUGUUGUAAUAAUAAUUAAAGGAUCUACUCUUAUUACAAAUUUGUUCUAAUAGUUCUUAGAGAAAUUUAUAAAUAUAAGCUAUGUAUUUUUGUUUUUUCAUUAAACCGAGAUGUCGAAUUCCAAAUUUUGUUUUUCAUAUUCUAAAGUUUUAAUCUUCUUUCACAUAUUUUAAUUUGAAUGUGUAUAUUUUUUUAAGGAAUACAUUUAAGUUGUUUUAUGAAUUUAUUUAUGAACAAUUAUCGUGCUUCUAAAAAUCUUUUCUAGAGCUGCAAACUACGACUUCCUUGUAAUAAUUGUAUUAUUUAGAUUAAUUAGCAAACAUUUUUUUUUUUUUUUAAACUAUACAAUUUGCAUAUGAUUUUACUGCUUGAUAGUCGAAAAGAAAAGAUAAAUUUAGCUCUUAGACUAUUUUAAAAAUUUUAAGUUAUUUACAAUGUUUAUAUCGGUAAGAGUUUUCGUAAAAUUUGCGAUAUCGUGCUUCGUCGAUAGUUAUGUAUCUUUAAACAAAAAACACAAAAAUAAAAACACACAUCAUAGCUGUUGAACCAAGUAUUGAAGAAACCAUAGUAUCCCUUGUCUACGUUCCGAAUCUAAAAUGGUUGUUUUUCACCUUGUGAUUGUGCAGUAGACCUUUCCACAUUGACUAAAGAUGACUCACCAAAUGAACUCAGGCGGAUAACAUUUUGCUUAUGUAUAUGGUGUCAGCAUCAAAAAGACGUUUCUUUUUGGAUAUUGAACUUUUAAUCCUCACUUUUACCUUUUUAAUGUUUAAAUUCUACCAUUUUUUGGUGGGAAGUAGUAUAAAAUACUAAAAAUUAAGUUAUUAUUAUUAUUAGCAAUUAUUAUUUCUAUAACCCAAAAUACGUUUGGAAAAAUUUGACUCUACGUAUAGUGACGAAUAUUGCAGCUCAUGAGAGUAUAGAUUUUUAUAUAAGUGAGGGAUGAAUUGGCUUUACUUAUGAUGCGCUUAAUUUUAUUUUGUAUCUAUCAACAAAUUAUUUUACCGAAAAUCAUCCAAUCGAAAAUUUAUAGGAACUUAUUCCAGUAAAUUUGAUUCAAUUGGUAUACUUAGAGAGGUCGUUUUUGGAUUUUCCUCGUAGAUUUCUCCAGAAUUGAAAAAAAAAUUGUUAAUAUUUUGUACAAUUUUUGUUGAUUACUAUUACCUUAGAAACGAAGAGAAAAUAUGAUUAAUAACAAUAUGCUUUAUACUCUUUUGGUAUAACAUACUCUGCUUGGAAACAUUUUUCGUUAGAAAUGGUUUAUCGUCCGUGAUAUAAAUUAAACUUUCUAUAUUAUCUCUUCCAAUGUCCCUUAUAAAAUAUUGAAGCACCUACCGCAGUAUUAUGGCCUUUUUUUUUUUUUAUUUAAUAUAUAUUAAUCAUACUAAUGUUUAUACAAGGAUCCCAUAUAGAUACGAUCAUUGCAAUAUCUUGGAAAUUCUUUUCUUACAAUUUGAAAUACAAGUAUCUCUAAAACGUCACAAUCAUAUUAUAUUUUUCACUUUUAUUUCUAGAGGUGAACGGACUGUCUAUAAUUAAAAAAAAAUUUCAUAAAAUGACGGAUAAUUAGUUUAAAUAAAUCUCAGUGUUGGCAUUUUUUUGAUUUCCGUCAACCCUUUAACGAUAAUUCUACUUUGGUUUGGAUGGAACAGUGGAGCAUCAUGCAAUAUUUUAAAACCACUUGGUUCUUACAUAAAUCAAUACUUUAUAGAAUAACACAAUGAUCAUAAUAUCUCCGUGGGACAUCGCAUAUAAACGCGAAUCAAUAAAUAUAAUAUUGUUUUAUGCCUAUUGUAAUUGCUAAAACAUUCAGAAUAUAAUGUAUGAUAUCAGAUUCAUUUGCUAAAAUCAUUUACAUCGAAUUCCGCCGCGGAGAAUUAUUUUAUUUUUAUUAUGUAACGAUGACGACACGAUGUUUUGUUUUUAGUAUAAUAUACGCAUUUUAUAUACGCUCGAACAAAAAUAUUACGAAAGUGAAUUAUGACUUUUAAUACUUGCGCUGGUUUGAUUAAUACCCUCGCGGAGCAACUCCUCUUAUUAUUAUUAUUAUUGUUAUAUAUUUUUCAAUUACGGUUUUUUGGGCACCACACAUAUUAUUAUUAUUACACACCACUUUUAUUUCGACAAUAUUUGCAGGAGUUACGAUAUUUUAUUAUAGAGACCGUUGGUGAUAAAAAAAAAAAAAAAAAAAAAUUAAAACACAUUUAGUCAAAUUUAUUGUCUCGUUUUUGUUGUUCCUAAACCGCUACCGCGGUGGCGAUUUAACAGAUUUUACCAAUAAUUAUUCUUAAAAAAAAAAAAAAAAAAACAUAAUAUUGGCUUUUGACGUUAAAACGUUGAUAUUAAUAUUUAUGGCGAAGACGAAAAAAAAAAAACACAAUUACGUUUUGAAACCCAACAAAUUUGUUGAUAUACAAUUAGAACAAUAGUUAAAACGCGAAUCGCUUUCUAUUAUAUUUUUAGGCUUUUGUUAUGUACCUACAUAUUAAUGAAUAUGACAUAAUCCGUCACAUUGGCGUUGUAUUACGUUUAAGUUUAGAAAAUCCGUGAACGUACUUCGCACCAUAUAUUGAUCGCUGCAGCCCAGGUGGCAAGUUUGAAUGGAUAAAAUAUUAUAUGAAAGCACAUUAUUAUUUAUAUAAUACAAGCAAUGAUUAUUGAUUUAAAAAAAAAAAAAAAAAAAAAAUUGUUGAUCGGAUAGUAUAGGUGUAUAGUAUUUUUCGUGUCUUUUUUUCCUUUUGUAGUUUCCACAAGAUAACUAAGAAAGGGAUAAAAAUAAAACCAACACAAUGAAAGGCGUUGUUAGUUUUGUUUUAUAAAUACUGUUGCGAGUUUAGCGAUCUGUUCCGAUAAAAAUUAUACGAUCCGGCAAAAAAUGUUCAAGGUAGAUAUAAAAUUCCAAUGAUUUAGAGAUGAUUUCAUAAAUUGAGAAAUGUGUUUUCCGAAUAAAAAACCCAAUUAAAUUUCUAUAGUGGAAGAACUGUUGAGAAUUUCGAAAACGCUAGUUAAUUACUAUCGGGCGUAAAUUCCGCACCUCGGAAGGUUCACUAACCGAAAAAAGUUUUCAGUGAAAAUUUAUCUAAUUGAAAAUAGUGUUUUUGGAAAAAAUAUUAGACAUCUCGAAAAAUAGUAGCUUACAAGAAAAUUACACUUACUUUUAAAUAACAUUAAUUUGACAUUUAAAACGUAUUUUUUAUUUUAUUUUAUAUGAUAGGUAUUUUGUUUUUACCGACUCUGUAUCGUUGUAAAAUGAUUUCAGUAAGAGAGCACCAUAAUAAUAUUUGAGUAGAUUUACAGUUUUCCCUCUUCUCGUCAUUAAUGAUGUACCAUCUAUAUAAAUUAUUCACCUCUCGAAAAUGAUUAAAUAUGCGUACGUUCGUGGUUUUAGUUUUUAGAAAAUCAAUAACCUUAACAAAUUAUUUAUAAUUGUGCACAAACUUUUAUUAUCACGAUUACGUAUUGAACAAUUUUUGGGUUAUCGCUACAAAGAGCUACCUGUUCACACACCUAACGAAUUGCUUACUAAAAAUAAAAAUCAAUGCAUACAUGAUCAGGUGGAAAAGAUAACAAUAUGACCGUCAUAUGACGGCGGUAAGCCCUACCAGUUUUAUGGCAAACAAUGUCCCACACAGCCCCAAAAUACAUUAAAAAUUCAAAGGAAUACACUAUAAUAAUAUCUAAAAAAAUAAAUGAAUAGAUAACGGAGAAAAUAAAGUAUAUAAAAAUCAAAAAAUGCAAAAUGAAAUGUCUUAUUCGCAUUUAAAAAUACAUUAAACGAAUUCGUUAAAAAACGUGACACGUUAUGAAUUUUGACAAUAUUAUUUUACUGUCCAAUAAUAUUAUACAUUCAUCAAAUGCUUAAUAAAAAUGUGUUGUUCUCGUUCGAAAAUAAAUAAAACAACUUUGCAGCAAAACGAGCAUCGCACAAAAAGCUUUGAAGAACUAUGCAAUACACAUUAAAAUAACAAUUAGUAUUGCAAUUUUAUUAUAAGUGUUAACAAUUGUAGUUUCUAUGUUCUGAAUCGUUUGUAUUAUGGAAUGCCGAACAUUUUACAAUGUAACCAUCAAAUAAUAUUUAUUAUGCUCGUAAUAUUCUAACUUAAACUGUACCUACAUAUAAAUAUACAAUAUCGUAUACGUUUGAACAAAUAAAACGGCAGACGACCCGAAUUAUAUAAAUAAAACAAAAACAAUAACAAUUUAAAUAAUGAUAAUAACUUUCGAUAACGACGUUUUAAUCAUUUUAUUAAAUUCUAUACUCGGCUGUAAUAAAUUGGCGUUCGUUUUUAUCGCCUAUUCCUUAUUACAGAUAUUAAGAAAAAACAAAAAAUCGAGGUAUAAUUAUUUAUUAUUAUCCACUACAGUCGUUUGGAAGGUAAAUUAAUAUUCGAUAAAAUACUCGCUAAAAUGUCGAUAAUUUUAAAACUCGAUAAUCUUUGGGUAAAUUAAGUGGUCACAAAAUAUGUAACACAAUUUCUCGAAUUAUAAAAUCAUUUUCUGUGACUGAACGUUGUAAAUAACUACCUGUGGCGCAGGCCGAGAAGGGAUGUUUUGGGUGUCUGGACACCUCUCUACCAAUAAGUUGUAAUAAGUUGCACUUGGUGGAAACUCAUGACGGUAAAAAACUUAUUAUUUAGGCUUUACACCCAAACUCCUUUUGAAUAUUUGAUUAAUUUUUUAUUGAUUGCCAUAGAAUUAGUAAUAUUGAUCUUUUGUAUUAUAUAAAAUUGAAGACAGCCAUGGGGGUUUUUUUUUUUAUGCAUUUACCUUUUACGCUACGAGUACAAAAAUUAGUACCCACUUACCAUUGUUAAUUCGUUUAAAUGUACUUAAUGUUGCACUCAGUCAAUAUGCCUUUUCGAUCCGAUGUACAAAUGCGUUGUAUGAAAUAUAAAUAAUAGUAAUGUGUUCAUUCGGAAUCGGAUAUUUUUCAGUUAUCAAAAAGUGUUUAAUUUUAUUUAAUUGUUAAUGUAAAUGAACAAUUUUUCCGUAUGUUUUCAAAUCAUUCUAAACAAAACUUGAAAUUAUUAAAAUGGCCUCGCGUAAUUUUGUUCUGUAUACAUAACAAAUGUAUACUCAAGGUAGCCAACAAGUUAAAAUUUCAUAUAAUACCUUUUGAACAUAUUAUUCAAUUACAAAAACCGUAGAUAUAGACUAUAUAGAUUAUAGAUCUGAAAUAUAGAACAAAAUUUCUGAAAGAAAAUUUGUUUACAGAAAAAAUUAAAUAAACAUUGUAUAACCAAUACAUUUCUAGCUCCGCUCAGAACCAUAAAAGGGAAAAUAUAUAAUAUAUUUUCUUUAAUCACUAUUACGGUAUACCGUUGAGAUUUAUAGAUUUUUACGGACUAUAUUUUUAUUUAAAAACCAAUUGAAGUCGAUAGAUAAAAAUAUUAUAUUAUAUUAAAAUAUUUCUCAUAUGAUCUGUUCAUUUACUAUAUAGGUACAUUUGACCACGCCCGAACAAAUACACAAUCCUAAUUUACCAGUCCGGCAAACAAUUUUCCAAUUCGGUCAAUAUGGGUACCUAACAACGAUAUCAUCGGUGUAUAUUUUUUUUUUAUUUCAAUUUAACUUUAAGGUAUAAGCGGGCGUGCAUAUAGAAAAUAUUAUAGUUAACUAGAUUGUAAGUUUAGAAAAUCGUUGAGUACUGUUAAAUCUAUAAUGAUUUGUCAGUGUGAAUAUCGUUCAAAUGAAAAUAACGAAAAAUUACGCGGUCAAAAUAACAAUGCAAUACUGAAAAACGGCCGUAGAAUUUAUUUAAUCUAAGUAAAACGACACAUUUGAAAAUAAAUAGGUUACUAAACGAUUACUAAACAAUAUAUAUUUUGUUUAGUACGUCAGUUUGCAGGCUGGUCGAAAUGAACAAAACUCUUCGAUACAUUAUGUGAUGUGGUGGUGUUCUCGGUAGAUAGUGCCGCUAGAUUUGUUCGAAAUCGUUGAUUUAUUUUAAAUAAUAUCUAAAAGAAACUUACAAAAAAAAAAGAAAAAAGAAGACGAAAUCAAUUUCUCGUGUACCAUCUGUUGUAACCAUCAUAUACCUAAUAUAAUCCAUCAUCUCACAAUGGCGAGUUCUCAAUCGUUUUGUUCGGGAAAAACGAACCGACGAUUUCAUUCGCGUACCGAGAACAUUAGUGACGAUAAACAGUCGGCAAGCAAUUUUUGCUGUGGUGGAUUUAAGGAGAAAGCCAAAUGGAUAAAAUGUUUAUAAACUAAACAUGUGUAUUUGCUCGAUUUAUUAAAAAAAAACACCAAAACAAAAAUAGUGUGGAGAUGUCAAACGAGAAACGAUAAAAAUUGAUUCGAGCGACUCAUACGAAUAUACCAUUACAAUACUAUUAUUGUUUUUGCGUAUGCCUUAAUAAUAUUUAUUUUUAAACCAAUGAAUUGUAUAAUUUUCACGAUAUUCUCACCAAAGCUCGAGAUCUAGUUAAUAUAGUUUGUAUAUCUGAUCUCGAAAAGAAUGUAAUUGUUAUUGUAUACAUGAGUGACGACCAGUGACAAUUGUUUAUUUUUUUAAAAACUCGACAAUAAGUUUGUUUCGUGAGUUAUUAUAUUGCGCGGUAAAACAAAUGUCAACGAUUUCGAAGAAGACCAAGACGGAUUGGUAGACUAGAGAUCUAAUCUGAAGUGACGGACCCAGAGUAUUGACGAGGCGAAUGAAAUAUAUUUUAUAUAUUCAUGAAAUCCUCGUGUAGUCGGGUGAUUUUUCGAUUGCAUCGAACGAUCGUGUGUUUUCUUUAUAAUACUUAUAUAUCGGAUACAAUCAACCGCAAUACAGGCAAUAUAUCGAAAUAAGUCUAGUUUUGAAAUUUUCCGCGUGCAAUUCUCUUUUUUUCAAUCCCUAUUCAUUUUGCAAUAAUAGUGGGAAAACCCGAUAAUGCGAAAAUAUUUCUACAACAGAACGGUUGUUGUAAAAGAGCCGUGGUAUACAGUUCAGCAUUUUACCGAAACUCGUUCAGUAUUAUUUUCGUCACAGUGUGUAAACCAUUAAACACAAUAAUAUUUUUGCUACAAAUGUACGAUAUAAUCAUCGUACAUGUUUAUAUAGUUUCGGAAAUAAAAUAAAUGUUUUUAAUCUCAAACCAGUUGCAAAAGCGACCGUUUGGCGAGUAUGCGUAGUAGAUACCCGCACAUUGUCGACCGAAACAUGAUCGAUUCAAAAUCAUUUUUCUAACAGUCUCUUCUUCACAACGACUGUUCUCACGAAAUUACCGUGUGAUCGGAAUCGAUUCAUGCCCAUGUGCGAUGUGAGCACAUACAUCGAUUGCGAAUCGGUUGCACAAUAGUUCGAGAUUCUCGUUGUGAACUAGUCGCACCGUGUACGGAGAACAUUAUAGCGUUUUGUAUUUUUCAAGACGUUUUAAUUUCCAAAAAUAUUCCCGCGUGGUUAUUCGCAGCGGCCCGUUGACAUUUUCAAAGUUUUCCAGUUAUUUUUUGGCAGAUAAUGACAGUAAUAAUAAUAACAAUAGAAUAACAAUUAUUGUUGCAGAUAAACCGGACGCGGGAUAAAAGACACGUCGGUACCGAGAACAACGACCGGAGAUGAGGACAUCGGAAAUAAUUUAUGUUUCUCGUCGAGCUCUAUCCAUGGCGCGUUCGCUAUGAAAUAUCGUAUUCUCGUCUCUGGGAGGUCCUUCGCGGCCAGACAUCGGCGGCGGCAGAAAAACUGCACCGCAGCGUGUACACCG